UACAUGGGGUGCAAACGUUGCUCGGAAUUAUUGGGCGUAAAGAGCGUGUAGGCGGCCAGAUAGGUCUGCUGUGAAAACUCGAGGCUUAACCUCGAGAUGUCGGCGGAAACCAUCUGGCUAGAGUCCGGAAGAGGAGAGUGGAAUUCCUGGUGUAGCGGUGAAAUGCGCAGAUAUCAGGAAGAACACCCGUGGCGAAGGCGGCUCUCUGGGACGGUACUGACGCUGAGACGCGAAAGCGUGGGGAGCGAACAGG
rnacentral:rRNA from 1 species